ACAAUCUGGAGAGCAGUGCUCUUAAUGUAGAAACAACACAAUUUAUUUUCUACACAAAACACUCACCGAAGGGGAAGGCUUAAUGAUUAAUUGGUAAUCAUCUGCCGAAACUCUCAGGUACCAUGACAGAUGGGG
rnacentral:ncRNA from 1 species